CUUAAAAUGGCAGAAUAGUGCAAUAAAUUUAAAAUUUAUAUAAAUAAAAUUUUUUUUUAUUUUUAAGA
rnacentral:tRNA from 1 species